GCGGCGGACGGGUGAGUAAUGCUUAGGAAUCUGCCUAUUAGUGGGGGACAACAUCUCGAAAGGGAUGCUAAUACCGCAUACGUCCUACGGGAGAAAGCAGGGGACCUUCGGGCCUUGCGCUAAUAGAUGAGCCUAAGUCGGAUUAGCUAGUUGGUGGGGUAAAGGCCUACCAAGGCGACGAUCUGUAGCGGGUCUGAGAGGAUGAUCCGCCACACUGGGACUGAGACACGGCCCAGACUCCUACGGGAGGCAGCAGUGGGGAAUAUUGGACAAUGGGGGGAACCCUGAUCCAGCCAUGCCGCGUGUGUGAAGAAGGCCUUUUGGUUGUAAAGCACUUUAAGCGAGGAGGAGGCUACCGAGAUUAAUACUCUUGGAUAGUGGACGUUACUCGCAGAAUAAGCACCGGCUAACUCUGUGCCAGCAGCCGCGGUAAUACAGAGGGUGCAAGCGUUAAUCGGAUUUACUGGGCGUAAAGCGCGCGUAGGUGGCCAAUUAAGUCAAAUGUGAAAUCCCCGAGCUUAACUUGGGAAUUGCAUUCGAUACUGGUUGGCUAGAGUAUGGGAGAGGAUGGUAGAAUUCCAGGUGUAGCGGUGAAAUGCGUAGAGAUCUGGAGGAAUACCGAUGGCGAAGGCAGCCAUCUGGCCUAAUACUGACACUGAGGUGCGAAAGCAUGGGGAGCAAACAGGAUUAGAUACCCUGGUAGUCCAUGCCGUAAACGAUGUCUACUAGCCGUUGGGGCCUUUGAGGCUUUAGUGGCGCAGCUAACGCGAUAAGUAGACCGCCUGGGGAGUACGGUCGCAAGA
rnacentral:rRNA from 1 species